rnacentral:lncRNA from 1 species
AUGUACAGUGGUGUGAUAAUUUCUGCGGUACAACAAAGUGACUCAGUUAUACGUGUCCACGCAUCCAUUCUUUUUCAGAUUCUUCUCCCACGUAGACGCUCACAGAAUAUCGGGUGGAGUUCUCCGUGCUGCGCCAAGGUUCGUGGAAUGACUGGCCAGCAGGGAUCAGAGAAGGCCAUCCAAAGCAGAGCUCCGGAGGUUCAGCGAUGCUUAGAUGAGAGGGCCGCGGUUCCGUGGUUCUCCGCAUCCAUGUGCCUGAGCGUCUCGCGAGGACAUCUCCGGGAAUCUCCAGCUGCACCAGAAGCCCGCAGAUUGUUCUCUGAAAUGCUGGCACUCGGUCACACCCUUACCAGGAAGGUCACCGCCCCCACUGCAAACACCCUGGGACCCUGGAUCAGAAACCAUCCUAUAGAGAAACAUGGUAUUCCUAGCCUCACCCCGGAGCCUAAGGACACGUCAUCAGAAGUGGUAGGUUUGCAUCUACAGAGAUAUUUAGAGGAGAAGCAUCUCUUAAAACCUCUCUGCAAAAGUCCAGAAGUGGGGUGAAAUAGCUUGCAGAAAACCACACCGCGAUUGAAGUGGUAGAAUUCAGAUUCAAAUCCAGAUCAAGUGCAAAGACGAAGUUGGUGGGCCUUGAAUCACACCAGGCUUCCUAAGGUGAGAUGCUGUGACGGCUGGCUGGGUCAGAGGGUUGAGGAAGCUGUGUGGGGUUCAGGAAAAGCCUCCACAGGAGACCUUCUGAAAGCAACUUGAGAACAUCAAUUCAUCGGUUGAAAUGAUAUACUGCUGAAACUCAUUGUUUUAAAAUAAGGCAUAUAUAGUUCUUUAUUAUAAGGUCAAGCAUUGUUCAAAGUGUCUUGCAAAUACUAGCCCAUUUCUGUGUGUUCAUUAAAACGUUUUCUGAAGCCAGCACCCUGCAAUUAUAGGCUUUACAAACUGCUACUGUAAUUCCAAGAGUGCCAAACCCAGUGGCUGACAAUGAGCCCCCAUCACUGACCAAGGAAAUCUGAGGGGUGCGGAAGCGGGCAGGAGGUGUGGAGGGGAUUCAAAGGAGUGGACAACGGGCUAUCGUUUUUCCUGUUUUCCUACAAAGUUACAGAGGAGGCUGGCAGGAUUAAUCUAUCACCUACUUACCUCUCAUGUCACAGGUUACUGGAUCUCUAAAGACUGUGGUUCUUGCUUGGUUUUUUGGAGCAAAGAGAGACAGCAAUGACGGAGCCUGUGAGAUAAGCACUGUGGACUCCUGCUACAGUUUCUGCCACCUCUGGGGGAGUAGCUCCGGAAGUAGUCGCUGUGACUUGCCCGCCAGCCAGGUGCUCGUCCUACCGCCAGGGCACAGGCAGGCUCAGGCUUCCGGCCCUUCCUGAAGAGGGGCAAGGUAAGUUAUUUAUGAAAAUAAGGGAAGAGGAAUAAAAUAUUCCAAUGAUAAAGAACGAAGAUUUAU